rnacentral:rRNA from 1 species
AUUGAACGCUGGCGGCAGGCCUAACACAUGCAAGUCGAACGAUUGGCGGACGGGUGAGUAAUGUCUGGGAAACUGCCCGCUGGAGGGGGAUAACUACUGGAAACGGUAGCUAAUACCGCAUACCAUCGGAUGUGCCCAGAUGGGAUUAGCUAGUAGGUGGGGUAACGGCUCACCUAGGCGACGAUCCCUAGCUGUUCUGAGAGGAGGACCAGCCACACUGGAACGGAGACACGGUCCAGACUCCUACGGGAGGCAGCAUUGGGGAAUAUUGCACAAUGGGCGCAAUCCUGAUGCAGCCAUUCCGCGUGUAUGAAGAAGGCCUUCGGGUUGUAAAGUACUUUCAGCGGGGAGGCGUUACCCGCAGAAGAAGCACCGGCUAACUCCGUGCCAGCCGCCGCGGUAAUAC